CGAUAGUAGUGACGUUUAUGAAUGAAAACAAUCGGAGUACGCGUCUAUUGUAAAUUUUUUUUGGCGGAUUGGAGCACGGACGGACAGAAAAUUUGGAGCUGCGGAAAUUAUAAAUUAUGGAUUGGUGACUGCCUAGGCUUGGAUGGAACGAAAGGUAAGAUUGAGACCUGAUAUUUUCUUUUCUUUUGCUGUAGGGGUACCUUCAACUAGGUCCACACUUUGGCCAGAUUGUUGGAUACGGCAUCAUUUCAAAUGCAUUUAGAUGUGUUUGAUCGUGUCUUCCCGCUUCCAGACUCUAACGUCAUAAAUCGAUUACUGACUGCUCUGCGACCUUGUGUACAACACUCUUCUGCCUUGUGCCAUAGUUGCGUAUGGGAAUAUAAAGGAAGAGUGCACAAAUGGUCAAGGACAGUCAUAAAUUGACUGUUCAGGAAUCGUAGACAUAUUGUUAGAGUCGGUAAAUCUGGGAUGCUUCCGCUCGUAAUCCAACGAAUUCUCCCUGACCACUGCUGUUGGUGUCUAGGCGAGUGGCCUCCUAUGGUAACAAGAAAAAGUUUUCGAUGGUCUCAACUUCCAAUAGAAUGACUAGAGAAUUUACGUAAAUUGGAUAUCUAAUUCACAAAAGCAGGUGUACCAUCGACUAGACCUUCAGCUUUUGUCAGAAUGUCGGAUACGAUGGUUUGCAAAUGCACUGAGGUGUAUUUGUUCUUUUUGUCUUCUGGCUUCCAGACUCUAGUGUCGUAAGGCGGGUGAAGGACUGAUCUGCGACCUCGUGUACAACAGUUCCCUGGCCCGUGCCAAAGAGCGAACGGCUACUGCUUCACCGCGAAAGGGGAAUUGCACUAAUGGUCAAAGACAGUCACCAGGUGACUGCUCCGGAUGCGCAGACAUCAACUAGAGUCGGUAAACCCAGAAUGCUUUAAUUCGUACUCUGACUUCGCAAUUCUGACAUCUGCUGUUAGAGUCUAGAAGAUUGGACGCCUGUUCGAAUAAAAAAAACAGACGGGAUUUGAGAACUAUGCCACCAACGAAAUUUCUUGCCAGAAUUAAUCGAGGUACUACUGUCGGACCUUCAAAACUAGACGUAAGUUGUAGUUUUAAUUCAAUUUCAUAGUUUUUGUAAUUUUGCUCUGAAAAUGGAGAAAAAUUAUAAGAACUUUAUUUUUUAUAAACAAAAAUUUUAUAUUUUAUAAUCAAUGUUUAGCCAAACAACUUCGUAAGUAUGGCUUGAGAAUGACAUUUUAUGUCUAUUUUAAUUUUUAAAUUGUUCAUUUUUGUUUACUUCUAUUUUUUUUGCCAUUGAUCUUAAAUAAUGAUAUUUCACUAAUUCAUCUUU